AGUCUUUCCGUCAGACUAACCUAACUGUGGAUUGCACGACAGAAGCAUGUUUUCAGCUCAUCAAAGAACUGGCCAAGGAGGUGAAGGAUAUCAGUAAGCAUGCUCAGAAGAGAGUGGUGAUAGAAGAGGUAACUGCAUCACUUCAAUAGCAGCAGGAGUCUCAUUCUGGAGUGGUCCAAGGAGCUGAACCAACUAACCCGGCUUGUAGCAUGCCCGGAAAAGAACAUUGGAAAAAGCUGUCACUCCACCACCUAUCAGCCUAGAGAGCAGCAGGAGUCUCAUCCUAAAUCUGUCCAAGGUGUUGAACCAACUUGAACCAGUAUGCAGGCUUAAACAUACCAUACUGCCAAAGGAGAUCAUUCAUUGUCUUUGACUCCCAGUUCAUGUAGUAUUUACUCAAGUGCUGUUAUAGAUUUGGGUCUGCUUUAUAUCUGGACCUCAUAUCUCAUUUAAUAUACAGGUAACUGCCAAAAUAAAGGAAACACUUGAGUAAAUGAUGGAUACAAAGUACAGUGCAUUUGGAAAGUAUUCAGACCCCUUGCCUUUUCCCACAUUUUGUUACCUUACAGCCUGAAAUAUCACAUUUACCAAAUGUUCAGACCCUUUACUCAGUACUUUGUUGAAGCACCAUUGGCAGC
ensembl:lncRNA